GACGAACGCUGGCGGCGUGCUUAACACAUGCAAGUCGAACGGAAAGGCCCUGCUUUUGUGGGGUGCUCGAGUGGCGAACGGGUGAGUAACACGGGAGUAACCUGCCCUUGACUUUGGGAUAACUUCAGGAAACUGGGGCUAAUACCGGAUAGGAGCUCCUGCUGCAUGGUGGGGGUUGGAAAGUUUCGGCGGUUGGGGAUGGACUCGCGGCUUAUCAGCUUGUUGGUGGGGUAGUGGCUUACCAAGGGUUUGACGGGUAGCCGGCCUGAGAGGGUGACCGGCCACAUUGGGACUGAGAUACGGCCCAGACUCCUACGGGAGGCAGCAGUGGGGAAUAUUGCACAAUGGGCGGAAGCCUGAUGCAGCAACGCCGCGUGCGGGAUGACGGCCUUCGGGUUGUAAACCGCUUUCGCCUGUGACGAAGCGUGAGUGACGGUAAUGGGUAAAGAAGCACCGGCUAACUACGUG
rnacentral:rRNA from 1 species